UACGGAGGGUGCAAACGUUGCUCGGAAUCAUUGGGCGUAAAGCGCGCGUAGGCGGCCACUUAAGUCGGAUGUGAAAGCCCCUGGCUCAACUGGGGAAGUGCACCCGAAACUGAAUGGCUUGAAUGCAAAAGAGGGUCGCGGAAUUCCCGGUGUAGAGGUGAAAUUCGUAGAUAUCGGGAGGAACACCGGUGGCGAAGGCGGCGACCUGGGUUGACAUUGACGCUGAGGCGCGAAAGCGUGGGGGGCAAACAGG
rnacentral:rRNA from 1 species